CAAUAGCGUGUAUUAAAGUUGUUGCGGUUAAAAAGCUCGUAGUUGGAUUUCUGCUGAGAACGACCGGUCCGCCCUUUGGGUGUGUAUCUGGCUCUUUCUUGGCAUCUUCUUGGUGAACGUUGCUGCACUUGACUGUGUGGAGCGCUACCCAGGACUUUUACUUUGAGGAAAUUAGAGUGUUUCAAGCAGGCAUACGCCUUGAAUACAUUAGCAUGGAAUAAUAAGAUAGGACCUCGGUUCUAUUUUGUUGGUUUCUAGAGCUGAGGUAAUGAUUAAUAGGGAUAGUUGGGGGCAUUCGUAUUUAACUGUCAGAGGUGAAAUUCUUGGAUUUGUUAAAGACGGACUACUGCGAAANCANNNGCCAAGGAUGUUUUCAUNGG
rnacentral:rRNA from 1 species